ACCAGCGAAAAGUUCCCUUAAUUUUUGUUCAUCUUAAAAAGUAUUUCUCCUUCAGUUUUGCGGGAUAAUUUUGCAGUGUACAGAGUUAUGGGUUGGUGGCAUUUUUUCUCUCAACAUUUUAAAUAUUUCAUUCCACUCUCUUCCUGCUUGAUUGGUUUCUGAAGAGAAGUUGGAUGUAAUUCUUAGCUUUGCUUCUCUGUAGGUGAGGUGUUUCCCCCCCCCCGGCUUCUUUCAGGAUAUUUUUGCCUUAUUUUUUACUUUUCUAUAGUUUGGAAAUCACAUGCCCAGGUAUAGUUUUCUUAACAUUUAUCCUGGUUGGUGUUCUCCAAGCUUUCUGGAUCUGUUGUUUGGUAUCUGAUGUUAAUUGGGGGAAUCCUUAGACAUCAUUAUUUCAAAUAUUUCUUCCUCUUCUUCUUCCUCUUCUGAUAUUCCCAUUACACAUGUGUUACAACUUUGGUAGUAGGAGCAGUUGUUGUAUGUUCUGUUUUGUUUUCAGUCUUUGUUCUUUUUGCUUUUCAGUUAUGAAGAUUUCUAUUGAGAUAUCUUCAUGUUCACAGAUGUUUUUCCUCUGUUGUGUCCAGUUGACUAACAAGCCCAUCAAAGGCAUUCUCCAUCUCUGUGACAGUGUUUCUGAUCUCUUGGAUUUCUUUCUGAAUCCUUAGAAUUCUGUCUCUGCUUCUAUCGCCCAUCAGGUGCACACUGUGUACUUUCUCCAUUAGACCUCUUAGCACAGGUGUUUUAAGUUCCUGGUCUGAUAAUUUCAACAUCUCUGCCGUAACUGAGUUUGGCUUGGAUGCUAGCUCUCCCUCUUCAGGCUGUACUUUUUCCUUUUAGUACGUCUUGUAAAUGUUUUCCUUGUCAAACAUGAUGUUGGUAGAAGGAACUGGAAGAAGGAAGUGCUUGAGUAAGCUUUUAGUAAUGUGGUGGUGUGUGGAAGAAAAGGAAGCUUUUUAUAGUCCUAUAAAGGUCUCAGUCUUUUAGUGAGGCUGUGCCCUGCACUGUGUAGUUUACACAUGCUUUUUAUUUUCCCUGCCCCCACCCUCCCAACCCUGGGUGGGACAGGAUAGCUAGAGUAAACCAGAGUUGAAUAUUUUCCUUCUCUUUCUUGGAAAGCUAGAGGGGGGCUGUAAUUGGAUAUUUUCCUUCCUUCCUGUGGAAGGCUACAGCCAGUCGAAGUUGGGUAUUUCCCUUCCUCCAAAUCAAUUAGGCUCUGAUAAGCACCAGCAGGUUAGGCUCUAGUUACAUAGUUUCUUCUGAGGGCAGACCUUGUUAAGUAAAAACAGAAUGCUCUGGAGUAUUUCAAAAUGGUUCCUUUUCCCUUCUCCCUGCCAGAAGCAUGAGGGAAUUCGCCGCCCCCUCCCCCCCAUACUCACUGUAAGCACCUAGGAAAGCUCCCGGAGGAAAACCCAAAAAGUAUGGGGCCCUCCUCUGACCGGGUUUGGAGUUUUUAACUCUCAGACUUUUCCACGCUGAGACUUCAGCAAUUCUGUCAAUUAUUGCUCAGGUUUUCUUACGCUGGCUCUGGUUCCUGUGCAACACGCUGCUCGUAAAUUUCUGCUUGAGCUUCCUUCUGGAAAAUAAAACUGGUGAUGAAGAAUUUGUUUCGUCCUUCGGAUUUCUCCCAUUUACUGUGAAUCGGAUAUAAGCAAAGAGCUGAAGGAUAUAAGAGAACGGUCUCUAUGUGGUCUGUAUCUUUUGCAGUGAUACAGCUAUGCCCCAGAGAGAUUCUGUAAUUUAUACUAAGAAUAAGAACCAAUAAGAAGUUCUUGAGUCAUCAAUGAGGUCAUGGUUAAGAGUGCGUACAUGCCACGAGAAGUGAUUGAAAAUGUGGGUCAGUGGCGAUGUGGGGUGUUAGGUAGACUGGAACACUAAAAGGAGGAAUGAGUACAGAAAAAAAAUGAAUUGUACAGUCUUUCCUUUCUGACAUCUUUGCCCACUCACUGACCACAAGACGACUUUGUUUUUUUCAGAUACCAUGAAGAAAAAGAAUAUUUGCAUAUUUGAUGUUUACCUGAUCACUAGACAAUACUAUUUAUCCAAAACCAUUUAGAGUUCAGUCAAACCAGUAGCCAGAAUUUAAGGGAUAUAAUUUGUUUUAAGGGAAGUGACAGCUGAUUUCAUCAAAACCAUCUUUAUCUGAUUGAAUUGACUUUCUAAAUAAUAUAUGAGUUUUCAAACCUCUGAGACAAGAAAGCAGUUUGGUCUUCUUAAAGAUUUUAUUGAUUUAUUUGACAGAGAGAGCACAAGCAGGGGGAGUGGCAGGCAGAGGGAGAGGGAGAAGCAGGCUCCCUGCUGAGCAAGAAGCCUGAUGUGGGCUUGAUCCCACAUGACCUGAGCCUAAGGCAGAGGCUUAACCAACUGAGCCCACAGGUGCCUAAGAAGGCAUUAUUAAUAAAAGCAUAUUUUGAGAAAUGUAUCUUGGUGGCUUUCAAAACCUGGCUACACUAUAAAAUCAUUUGAAGAGCUUCACAAGUAAGUGUAUAUGAGAAUCAGCUAUUAAACUGAUUUGAAAAUAUUACUUGUACUUCUAGCAUACUGGCAAGUUUUCAGUUAAAAUUGAGAGAAUUCAACUUACAUUUAGGACUUUAUGUUUUGAGUCACUGAGCAGCUUUUGUUAUUAAUGCUUAGAAAUUAUUAAUAGCAAUAAACAGAUAAUACUCCUUGUGUAAUAACUGAGUCAAGACAGAGUUAAUGGGCAAAAUUCUUGAAAAUAUCUUUCAUGAUAUAUUAGUUAUACUAACUCUUUAUGAUAUAUUAGGAAAGUUAAGAGAGUUGGACAAGCAAUCAUAGACAUUUUUGAAAGAGAAAAUCAUAGUUAGAAAGCAAAAUAUGUCUUAAUCUCAAACUAUCUUUUGAAGCAUUCUUUGCCAUGAUAAUAUAGCCCAUGAUUUACUUUAUAAAAUGCUUUAGUUCCUUU